GUGGGUGGGCGCCGCGGGGGGGAGGGUCCCGGGCGAGGUGGAUCGCAGGGGCACCGGACUGGGUCUCAGAGGUCCCACAGAGGCAUUUGAGUUAUGGGGGUUUGUAACAGUAAUUAGCAACAGCCAGGCGUGACAGUAGUUACUAUACAUAUGUAUUUUUAAUGUUUUACUCAUGUUACCUCAUUUCAUUCUCAAAGGCAGGAGCAAGAGGGCUGGACCACUAGCCUUGCUCUAUUACAACCCCACUUUACAAAUGAGGGUGGGGUUACGGCAGCUGGACAUGUCGCUGCUGUGCCAGUUGUGGGGCCUGUAUGAAUCAAUCCAGGACUACAAACACCUGUGCCAAGACCUGAGUUUAUGCCAGGACCUGUCAUCUUCCCUGCACUCGGACAGCUCCUAUCCACCGGAUGCCGGCCUCUCUGAUGACGAUGAGCCUCCUGAUGCCAGCCUGCCUCCUGACCCACCACCCCUCACUGUUCCCCAGACACAUAAUGCCCGAGAUCAGUGGCUGCAGGACGCCUUCCACAUCAGCCUUUGAACAGCUGGGGUGGGUGGGAAUGCACCCAUGCAAAAGGGUCAAAACUCGCCCCUGAGCAUGUCCUCAGAAGACAGUGCCUGCUCUUCCACCUGUACCUCCUCACCUCAGGAGAGCCAGGCAUAUGCCUCUCAGGCAAAACUGCCAACCCCUUCCUGGUUGGUUGGCACUGGGUGGGCACCUGGGUUGCCAUGAUACUGGGCCUCUUCUCUACAUAUGUGCACCCCCAGCUUGGCUAUGGGGCCCGAAGUAUCUUGCACUCUCCUUGGCAUCACUGGGAUUGGGAUGAGUGCCUGGCUCCUAUCUUUUCAUCUUUUGCUGCUAAUGGCAGCUGCUGGCUCAGGGGCAUUCCACCUCUGGUCCCUGGGAUCCACUGCCCUGAAUAAGGGCCUCAGGACCCAUGCCUGCACACAUCCAAGUCCAUAACAGGCUAAGGCCCCAUGCUGGAUAUUUUAAGUUUAGGGGCCAGCCUCCUGGGCUGGUAAAUAAAUAAAUAAAUAAAUAAACAAACAUCCCUGAGUU
rnacentral:lncRNA from 1 species